rnacentral:rRNA from 1 species
GACGGAGGGUGCUAGCGUUGUUCGGAAUUGACUAGGGCGUAAAGGGCGCGUAGGCGGACCGUUUGCGUCGGAAUGUGAAAGGCCCGGGGCUACCAACCCGGAACGGCAUCCGAUACGGGACGGCUGGAGACCGGGAGGAGGAGGGUGGAAUAGCCAGUGUAGAGGUAGAAAUUCGUAGAUAUUGGCUGGAACACCGGUGGCGAAAGCGGCUCUCUGGCCCGGUUCUGACGCUGAGGCGCGAAAGCGGUGGGGAGCAAACAGGG